GACGAACGCCGGCGGCGUGCCUAAUACAUGCAAGUAGAACGCUGAAGAGAGGAGCUUGCUCUUCUUGGAUGAGUUGCGAACGGGUGAGUAACGCGUAGGUAACCUGCCUGGUAGCGGGGGAUAACUAUUGGAAACGAUAGCUAAUACCGCAUGAUAUUGAAUAUCGCAUGAUAAUUGAUUGAAAGGUGCAAUUGCAUCACUACCAGAUGGACCUGCGUUGUAUUAGGCUAGUUGGUGAGGUAACGGCUCACCAAGGCGACGAUACAUAGCCGACCUGAGAGGGUGAUCGGCCACACUGGGACUGAGACACGGCCCAGACUCCUACGGGAGGCAGCAGUAGGGAAUCUUCGGCAAUGGGGGGAACCCUGACCGAGCAACGCCGCGUGAGUGAAGAAGGUUUUCGGAUCGUAAAGCUCUGUUGUAAGAGAAGAACGGGUGUGAGAGUGGAAAGUUCACAACUGUGACGGUAUCUACC
rnacentral:rRNA from 1 species